rnacentral:rRNA from 1 species
GCAUAUCAAUAAGCGGAGGAAAAGAAACCAACAGGGAUUGCCCUAGUAACGGCGAGUGAAGCGGCAACAGCUCAAAUUUGAAAUCUGCCUUCGGGCCGAGUUGUAAUUUGUAGAGGAAGCUUUUGGUGAGGCACCUUCUGAGUCCCCUGGAACGGGGCGCCAUAGAGGGUGAGAGCCCCGUAUAGUCGGAUGCCGAUCCAAUGUAAAGCUCCUUCGACGAGUCGAGUAGUUUGGGAAUGCUGCUCAAAAUGGGAGGUAAAUUUCUUCUAAAGCUAAAUACCGGCCAGAGACCGAUAGCGCACAAGUAGAGUGAUCGAAAGAUGAAAAGCACCUUGAAAAGGGGGUUAAAUAGCACGUGAAAUUGUUGAAAGGGAAGCGUUUGCGGCCAGACUUGCGCCGCCCCGAUCAUCCGGUGUUCUCACCGGUGCACUCGGGGCGGCGCAGGCCAGCAUCGGUUUCGGCGGGGGGAUAAAGGUCCGGGGAACGUAGCUCCUUCGGGAGUGUUAUAGCCCCGGGCGUAAUGCCCUCGCCGGGACCGAGGUUCGCGCAUCUGCAAGGAUGCUGGCGUAAUGGCCGCCAACGACCCGUCUUGAAACACGGACCAAGGAGUCAAGGUUUUGCGCGAGUGUUUGGGUGUAAAACCCGCACGCGUAAUGAAAGUGAACGUAGGUGAGAGCUUCGGCGCAUCAUCGACCGAUCCUGAUGUAUUCGGAUGGAUUUGAGUAAGAGCGUUAAGCCUUGGACCCGAAAGAUGGUGAACUAUGCUUGGAUAGGGUGAAGCCAGAGGAAACUCUGGUGGAGGCUCGCAGCGGUUCUGACGUGCAAAUCGAUCGUCAAAUCUGAGCAUGGGGGCGAAAGACUAAUCGAACCAUCUAGUAGCUGGUUACCGCCGA